GCCGGCGUAGCUCAGUUGGUAGAGCAUCUGAUUUGUAAUCAGAGGGUCGGGGGUUCAAGUCCCUUCGCCGGCUCCA
rnacentral:tRNA from 3 species